rfam:Aptenodytes forsteri contig10909, whole genome shotgun sequence.
AAUAACUAUGAUACUUGAAGACAAGAUAUUGACUAAGAUAGUCAGCUAUCAUUGGCCUAUAGCAGCACCAAAGCAAGCGCGCACACAAACACACACACACACACACACACUAUUUCUCCCGCUCCUUGGAUAACUGUGGUAAUUCUAGAGCUAAUACACACCAAUGAGCGCCGACCUCCGGGGACGCAUGCAUUUAUCAGACCAAAACCAACCCGGGCCUGCCCAGCAGCUUUGGUGACUCCAGAUAACCUCGAGUCGAUUGCACGCCCCCGUGGUGGCAACGACUCAUUCGAGUGUCUGUCCUAUCAACUUUUGAUGGUACUGUCUGUGCCUACCGUGGUGACCACGGGUGACGGGGAAUCAGGGUUCGAUUCCGGAGAGGGAGCCUAGCCAAGGAAAGCAGCAGGCGCGCAAAUUACCCGCUCCCGACCCGGGGAGGUUGUGACGAAAAAUAACAAUACAGGACUCUUUCGAGGCCCUGUAAUUGGAAUGAGCGCACUUUAAAUCCUUGAGCGAGGAUCCAUUGGAGGGCAAGUCUGGUGCCAGCAGCUGCAGUAAUUCCAGCUCCAAUAGCAUAUCUUAAAGUUGCUGCAGUUAAAAAGCUCAUAGUUGGAACUUGGGAUCGAGCUAGCAGUCCGCCACGAUUUAAAAAAAAUAAAUUUUUAUUUAGUGAUAGGACGAGAGGAAAUGGCCUCAAGUUGCACCAGGGGAGGUUUUUGGACAUGAUGAGGAAAAAUUUCUUUACUGAAAGAGUGGUUAAACAUUGGACCAGGCUG